rnacentral:rRNA from 1 species
GUGAGGUAGUGGCUCACCAAGGCGACGACGGGUAGCUGGUCUGAGAGGACGAUCAGCCACACUGGGACUGAGACACGGCCCAGACUCCUACGGGAGGCAGCAGCAGGGAAUAUUGCACAAUGGGCGCAAGCCUGAUGCAGCGACGCCGCGUGAGGGAUGAAGGCCUUCGGGUUGUAAACCUCUUUCAGGAGGGACGAAGCGCAAGUGACGGUACCUCCAGAAGAAGCCCCGGCCAACUACGUGCCAGCAGCCGCGGUAAUACGUAGGGGGCGAGCGUUGUCCGGAUUCAUUGGGCGUAAAGAGCUCGUAGGCGGCUCAGUAAGUCGGCCGUGAAAGCCCAGGGCUCAACCCUGGGAGGCCGGUCGAUACUGCUGUGGCUAGGGUCCGGUAGAGGAGAGUGGAAUUCCCGGUGUAGCGGUGAAAUGCGCAGAUAUCGGGAGGAACACCAGUAGCGAAGGCGGCUCUCUGGGCCGGUACCGACGCUGAGGAGCGAAAGCUAGGGGAGCAAACAGGAUUAGAUACCCUGGUAGUCCUAGCCGUAAACGUUGGGCACUAGGUGUGGCGGAUUCAUUGACAUCUGCCAUGCCGUAGCUAACGCAUUAAGUG